CAGGAUAAAGGCAAGAUAACGGAGACACGCGAGGACGAGAACUGAGCGGUCGGACCAACAAAGACUGAGGGAACAACACAAACUAACGAGGGGACGAGGUGCAGGUGGAGCGAGGCAGCGCAGAAACACAGGGCUUGCAAAGGGAAUGCGACAUGUCAGGCCAAAUACUGCUCAAACAACAGAAUAAUUACAGCAGCAUGGGUAACAGCAGGGGGGCAGGCAUGACCUCCCCCCCUCCCAACACAACACAAAACACCAGCAGAAAGAUCAGCGGCUCCUCUGAUGAGGUGGCAUAAACUCAAGAAACAAGGCAUGAACCCGACAGGAAUGUGUUAACUGGGCUGGUGCAUGAAAAUAAUUUUCAGCCCUAUGAGGGUCAGUCUUCAACAUGCAGCAGCAAUCGUUCCAGCUCCCAGCAGCCAUCCGAUAAGGUAUUAAAACAUUUUUUAAAAAGAAGGAUUUUGAUCUCCUCUUCAUCUUAUCUGCUUUGGCACUGCAGUCCUGGCAUUCUGUUUGAAGUGUGUAAAGCAAAUCUUGCAGCAAAGUAAUUGUUGCAGCCUCACACAGUCCUGAGGAAGAUUUUCAUUG